AGUGAACGCUGGCGGUAGGCCUAACACAUGCAAGUCGAACGGCAGCACAGUAAGAGCUUGCUCUUACGGGUGGCGAGUGGCGGACGGGUGAGGAAUACAUCGGAAUCUACUUUUUCGUGGGGGAUAACGUAGGGAAACUUACGCUAAUACCGCAUACGACCUACGGGUGAAAGCAGGGGAUCUUCGGACCUUGCGCGAUUGAAUGAGCCGAGGUCGGAUUAGCUAGUUGGCGGGGUAAAGGCCCACCAAGGCGACGAUCCGUAGCUGGGCUGAGAGGAUGAUAAGCCACCCUAGAACUGAGACACGGUCCAGACUCCUACGGGAGGCAGCAGUGGGGAAUAUUGGACUAGGGGCGGAAGCCUGAUCCAGCCAUACCGCGUGGGUGAAGAAGGCCUUCGGGUUGUAGAGCCCUUUUGUUGGGAAAGAAAAGCAGCAGGUUAAUACCCCGCUGUUCUGACGGUACCCAAAGAAUAAGCACCGGCUAACUUCGUG
rnacentral:rRNA from 1 species